GGGCUCGGGGAAUGAGGAUAUUGGCCAAGGAGUGGGAGAGGUUUGCAGUAGUUCGUGGACUGGCUGAGGAGAGUGAGGUUGAUCUUCCCAUGGCUCCGUAACACAAAAAGACGGGCUGAGAGGUCGUUCACUUGUCUGUUCCAUGAGCCGGUUCAAACAGCAUGAGGAAAGCUGACUCAAGGAACAGAGCGAGAAGUUGUUGGCCAGGAAAAGGCUACGGAAAUAGUGCGUCGUCCACUAUCCCGUUGUCCCCGGCCUAGCCAUCCUCUACUCCUGCACCCUCUUCCCUGCCGGUGGGGUGCCCUGACGACCCAGUCAGCCGCUGCAGCAAAGCAAAACAUCAACUGAACAGAACUUGUAUGGAGAGACACCACCCAGCCAACAAUCAAUCUUCAGGAGGUGUCUGUUGGAAAGAGGCUAAUUGUAGCAACUAACAACUUAAGUGGACAGUAUAAUACUAACUGGAGAAUGUUUUAUGAAAAUAAAAUGCUUUAUGGGACAUUCAAAGUAGAUUCUUUUAAAGCUGAAUGCUUACUUUUUUCUGGAGACUCUUUGAAGCAUUAUGGACUGGGCCCUAAAAGCUGUUUUUGGGCCCUAAAAGCUGUAUUAUUACAGCAUUUCCUACUUUCUUGAGCCAUAAAUAACCUUUUAUGGCAUAUUUUGCUUCAGUCAAUUUCGCAGCAAUAAAUUAAUCUUAAACGAGGAGAUUCACGACAUGCUAUCUACUGAUUCAAUAUUCUUUUAUGCAAUAUUUGCAUAUUGUAUGCAGAACUUAUCAAUGAGAAAACUUGUUAAUUUUGGUUGAAGAAAGGACGACUAAAAGAUGCAAAAGAAA